UGGGGAAUAUUGCACAAUGGGCGAAAGCCUGAUGCAGCAACGCCGCGUGAGUGAUGAAGGUCUUCGGAUUGUAAAGCUCUGUCUUUUGGGACGAUAAUGACGGUACCAAAGGAGGAAGCCACGGCUAACUACGUGCCAGCAGCCGCGGUAAUACGUAGGUGGCGAGCGUUGUCCGGAUUUACUGGGCGUAAAGGGUGCGUAGGCGGAUGUUUAAGUGAGAUGUGAAAUACCCGGGCUUAACUUGGGUGCUGCAUUUCAAACUGGAUAUCUAGAGUGCAGGAGAGGAGAAUGGAAUUCCUAGUGUAGCGGUGAAAUGCGUAGAGAUUAGGAAGAACACCAGUGGCGAAGGCGAUUCUCUGGACUGUAACUGACGCUGAGGCACGAAAGCGUGGGUAGCAAACAGGAUUAGAUACCCUGGUAGUCCACGCCGUAAACGAUGAGUACUAGGUGUAGGGGGUAUCGACCCCUUCUGUGCCGCAGUAAACACAUUAAGUACUCCGCCUGGGAAGUACGAUCGCAAGAUUAAA
rnacentral:rRNA from 1 species